UACGGAGGGGACUAGCGUUGUUCGGAAUUACUGGGCGUAAAGCGCACGUAGGCGGAUUUGUAAGUCAGGGGUGAAAUCCCGGGGCUCAACCUCGGAACUGCCUUUGAUACUGCAAAUCUCGAGUCCGGAAGAGGUGAGUGGAAUUCCUAGUGUAGAGGUGAAAUUCGUAGAUAUUAGGAAGAACACCAGUGGCGAAGGCGGCUCACUGGUCCGGUACUGACGCUGAGACGCGAAAGCGUGGGGAGCGAACAGG
rnacentral:rRNA from 1 species